UGUCGCGUGCGGCAAUAUCCCAAACGUGGGCAGCCACGCUUUGGUGCGCCAAACCCCUCACACACCUGUAUACUUGUCCCUUUGCUUUCCGCAUCAGCAAUGAUGCGGAACAUCAUAUCAAAUUCUGCUUGAAUGUAAUGUCUGAAUAAACUAUAAUAAGUUAAAACUUUCAACAACGGAUCUCUUGGUUCUCGCAUCGAUGAAGAACGCAGCGAAAUGCGAUACGUAGUGUGAAUUGCAGAUUUCCGUGAAUCAUCGAAUCUUUGAACGCACAUUGCGCCCUCUGGUAUUCCGGAGGGCAUGCCUGUCUGAGCGUCAACUCAUCCUCAAACUUAUGUUUGGUCUUGGAAGAAGAGGCUUGCCCUCUCUUCUGCAAAUCAUUGGCAAUGGCUCAAGCUAUAGCAACGUAGUAAGCACAUUUCGUUGCAAUUGUAGUUGGAGAAGCUCGCCAGAACCCAAAUCUUUUCAGUUUGACCUCAGAUCAGGUAGGGAUACCCCCUGAACUUAAGCAUAUCAAUAAGGGGAGGACAAGAAACCAACAGGGAUUGCCUCAGUAACGGCGAGUGAAGCGGCAAAAGCUCAAAUUUGAAAUCUGGCGUCUUUGACGUCUGAGUUGUAAUUUGUAGAGGAAUAUUCGGGUAACAGUUUGGUCUAUGUUCCUUGG
rnacentral:rRNA from 1 species